CACCAAUGUCUGUGUCAGUGUCAGUAAUGCACAGUGCCAUCUCACACACCACUGGGAAAGAUGCAGAUUCGGUGUUUAUAAAAAAGUAGGAAAACUUGCUUUGUAUGAUCAAUAAUGUUACUAUGAAUCUGCAUCCUUCUUUGGUAUAUGGUAUUAACAGUACACUGACAGAAACUAUAUUAACCUCUAUGUAUGCUUGCAUAAAAAAAUGUAUACAUGUAAAAUGUAUGCUUGCUCAAGUAUCAAGCUAGCUUAUUUGCUUAAUUACUGUAAAUAUUACCAGGGAAAAAGAAAAAAACAAAUUUAUUCUGUAAGGAAAAGGAAGGAGUUCACAGUAUUAGUUGCUAAGGGGUUUUUAUAAUCCAUGGAAA